rnacentral:rRNA from 1 species
UACGUAGGUGGCAAGCGUUGUCCGGAAUUAUUGGGCGUAGAGCGCGCGCAGGCGGUCCCUUAAGUCUGAUGUGAAAGCCCACGGCUCAACCGUGGAGGGUCAUUGGAAACUGGGGGACUUGAGUACAGAAGAGAAGAGUGGAAUUCCACGUGUAGCGGUGAAAUGCGUAGAGAUGUGGAGGAACACCAGUGGCGAAGGCGACUCUUUGGUCUGUAACUGACGCUGAGGCGCGAAAGCGUGGGGAGCAAACAGG